rnacentral:misc_RNA from 1 species
AGCAGCCGCGGUAAUUCCAGCUCCAAUAGCGUAUAUUAAAGUUGUUGCAGUUAAAAAGCUCGUAGUUGAAUUUCGGGAUUAAUAUGUUGGUCGUGCCUUGGUACGUACUGGCAUUAUUGAUUCCUACCUUCUGAAGAACCUCGAUGUCAUUAAUUUGGUGUCUUGGGGAAUCAGGACCGUUACUUUGAAAAAAUUAGAGUGUUUAAAGCAGGCUCGCGCUUGAAUACAUUAGCAUGGAAUAAUGAAAUAGGACGUUUGAUUCUAUUUUGUUGGUUUCUAGGAUCGACGUAGUGAUUAAUAGGGAUAGUUGGGGGCAUUAGUAUUCAAUUGUCAGAGGUGAAAUUCUUGGAUUUAUUGAAGACUGACUACUGCGAAAGCAUUUGCCAAGGAUGUUUUCAUUAAUCAAGAACGAAAGUUAGGGGAUCGAAGACGAUCAGAUACCGUCGUAGUCUUAACCAUAAACUAUGCCGACUAGGGAUCGGAUGAUGUUAAUUUUUAAUGACUCAUUCGGCGCCUUAAC